AGGAAAGCAAUGCCAAGGGCCUCCUAGCUGUCUGAGGACCUCCGAUUGGGCCAGGCAAACGUGUCGCUGCUGGGAGCCAAACUACCGCAUUUCUUCAAGUACUCCACCUCAGGGGAUCCUCCACCUCAGGAACUACUCUUCUGAAACAUCUUCAGCCCCAUCUGCCAAUACAGUUUUACACCUUUUGCGUUGGGAGGAGCAGCAGCCAUUGGAGGAUCCAUAACAUUUAGCUUACGUGUAUUGUGCCUGCAGAUACACAACCUGAUAUGGUCACCUUUCCAGUGGGAAUUACAGUAUAAAAAAAAAAGAUCCCUUCUAGGAUCACGAAGAAGGUGCCCCAGAUAGACUAAUGAUCCCAUCUAACAAAGGACUGUCACCGGGGGGUCCAUCCAUCACUCCUCCGGUAAUUAGCCGCGGCUCCUUACUACUAAUUGAUCUAUUUGGCUAAAAGGCGCCGUACAUUACCAUCCACGCUACCCGCGGCUCUAAUAAAAGA